rnacentral:rRNA from 1 species
GUAAGGAAUAUUGGUCAAUGGAGGCAACUCUGAACCAGCCAUGCCGCGUGCAGGAUGACGGCCCUAUGGGUUGUAAACUGCUUUUGUACCAGAGAAAACCCCAGUACGUGUACUGGGUUGAUAGUAUGGUAAGAAUAAGCAUCGGCUAACUUCGUGCCAGCAGCCGCGGUAAGACGAAGGAUGCAAGCGUUAUCCGGAUUCAUUGGGUUUAAAGGGUGCGUAGGCGGACUGAUAAGUCAGUGGUGAAAUCUCUCAGCUUAACUGAGAAACUGCCAUUGAUACUGUCGGUCUAGAGUAUAGAUGACGUUGGCGGAAUAUGACAUGUAGUGGUGAAAUACUUAGAUAUGUCAUAGAACACCGAUUGCGAAGGCAGCUAACGAAACUAUAACUGACGCUGAGGCACGAAAGUGCGGGGAUCAAACAGGAUUAGAAACCCCUGUAGUCC